rnacentral:rRNA from 1 species
UCCGUAGGGGUAGCCUGCGGAGGGAUCAUUACACAACAAAAAUAUGAGGGUGUGGUUUGCUGGCAACAGCGUCCGCCCCAAGUAUUUUUCACCCAUGUCUUUUGCGCACUUUUUGUUUCCUGGGCGAGUUCGCUCGCCACCAGGACCCAACCAUAAACCUUUUUUUAUGCAGUUGCAAUCAGCGUCAGUAUAAUAAUUCAAUUUAUUAAAACUUUCAACAACGGAUCUCUUGGUUCUGGCAUCGAUGAAGAACGCAGCGAAAUGCGAUACGUAGUGUGAAUUGCAGAAUUCAGUGAAUCAUCGAAUCUUUGAACGCACAUUGCGCCCUUUGGUAUUCCAAAGGGCAUGCCUGUUCGAGCGUCAUUUGUACCCUCAAGCUUUGCUUGGUGUUGGGCGUCUUUUUGUCUCUCCCCUUGUUGGGGGAGACUCGCCUUAAAACGAUUGGCAGCCGACCUACUGGUUUUCGGAGCGCAGCACAAAUUUGCGCCUUCCAAUCCACGGGGCGGCAUCCAGCAAGCCUUUGUUUUCUAUAACAAAUCCACAUUUUGACCUCGGAUCAGGUAGGGAUACCCGCUGAACUUAAGCAUAUCAAAGA